UGUGGGAAGGGAAAAACCAGACGUGGAAGCUUAACAGUUUUUAAAGUUUUGCCAAAGUUUUGUAAUACAACAAGCCAAAAAUUGUAAGUCGUAACUAACGCAUCAGCCAAUUUGCUAAUAGUCGAAGACUAACGCUGGCUAGUAAAAACAGUCCUAAAUUAAUAGGCACCUACCUUAAGAGUCUGUUACAGACAAGUGGCUCUUGCAUAAAAAGCAAUGAUAUUAAGAAUAUGUAGGCCUUAUAUACUAGUUAAGUUCUAAUUAUAGAAACUAUAUCUAAAUUUACAAACCCAAUAAGAAAUAUCAACACAUAAGUUAAACCAA
rnacentral:lncRNA from 1 species